rnacentral:rRNA from 1 species
AUACGGAGGAUACGAGCGUUAUCCGGAUUUAUUGGGUUUAAAGGGUGCGCAGGCGGACCGUUAAGUCAGGGGUGAAAAGUUGGGGCUCAACUCCAAUCGUGCCUUUGAUACUGGCGGACUAGAGUGCAGGGGACGUGACUGGAAUGUGACGUGUAGCGGUGAAAUGCUUAGAUAUGUCACAGAACGCCGAUCGUGAAGACAGGUCACGAAUCUGCAACUGACGCUCAUGCACGAAAGCGUGGGGAUCAAACAGGAUUAGAUACCCUGGUAGUCCACGCUGUAAACGAUGAUUACUGGCUGUUUGCGAUACAAUGUAAGCGGCUGAGCGAAAGCGUUAAGUAAUCCACCUGGGGAGUACGUUCGCAAGAAUGAAACUCAAAGGAAUUGACGGGG